GUCGCUGUAAAUUUAGGGAUCUGUGCAAAUAUUCAGCGAACACAUUCUGUUCGAUGAUUGGUCAGAGAAACGGUCGGUCAAGCACUUCCGACAAAUCGCAGGUUUCGAUUUUACUGUCUCGUUUUUUCGCGUUGUUCACUGUUCUUUUCCAGUAUGUCUCCGCCCCUCGUGUUCCCAGGAAUACACGAUCCCCAAGAAAUCCUUGAACUGCUGGCACUGGUUUUCCUUACAAGCACUGCAUACAGUGAAAUGGUGAACGUGCGACGGCAGUUAUUUUGUCUGUAAAACUCAGACACCUGAUUUAUUGUAAAGAGUUUAAUGUUCACAAUUAAAUUCUCAAGCAAGCAGGAUCUUUUUUUCUUUCUCAAACAAAGGGAGAAGAGGCAGGCUGUUCAUGAAAACUAAUAAUAGUGUUUAUACAAAAGAAACCAAAACACUGAGUUAUACAGACGUCAAGAAGGAUAGAAGACAAUAUUAGGGUGAAGGCUUGACAAUAUUAUACAAGAUCAGAGAAAAGGGUAUGAAGCCUCUCAUUUAUUUUCAUGCUAAAUUCCAUUGUGCACACAUUACCAUAUGUAAUGUAAUAUAUAUUAUUUACAUCUUCUAGGAUUCAGAACCUCUCCUGGUGUAUUGUCACAUAGGCUUCAGAAUCUCAGCGCAUCAUUAUGCAACUCAUUCUGUUGUUUUAUUUCUGAAAUUUGUCUCUGCUCUCUCAAAUAUCUUCCCCUUCCCACCCCUGGUAUCUGUAAUGGUAAGUGAUGAAGUCAUAUUUACUUUGCACAAGACUGGAUGAUGGUCACCCCUGUGGUUCCCUCUUGGUACCCUUUCCAGUCAUACAAUGGUGCAAUAUUAUUGGAAACCAUUGUUGUGGUCAAGCACAGAUUCCUUUCCAGUACUAACAUCUAGUUUUACUUCAUUCAUUCAAGUACGCUGGUUCUAUUUAUCCAACAGAUGUUGCCUGACCACCAUCAUCUGGUCUCUCACUGCCCCAAAAUGUGUACUGUGUGUUAAAACCCCCACACUACAAAACAUUAUUUCUGUUCUAUUCUAGACAUUUGGCCAAAGUCAUCAUUGCACUGUCACAGAGAGGAAAGCUUGGGAGAGAGCAACUAAAAAUGGUCAAACUGCAAGCAAAGACAGGCAUGGAAAUACAAGGUAUGGCUGUUAAAUAAUGAGACUAAUGCUGUAAUACAAUUUUAUUGAAUAUAACCAUUUUUCAGUGUUUUUCUCCUUCAACAUACUCCCCUUCUGCAUUAACACUCCGCUGCAUUCAGGUCUUCAAGUGAUCAAAUGUCUCCACAAAUUUGCUUGCGUCUUUCCUUUUGAUCAGGAGUCAGAUGUUUUGGGAUAACUUUUUCACACGCUUUUGUCAUGUUGAAAUUUUCAUGCAAAAUUUGCCAAACUGUCUCUUUAUCAAUGGAGACCAUUUCUGCUAUCAUUCUUAUACUGAGUCGUCGAGCAUUUCAAAUGAUUUGUUCAAUUUGUUGAAUGUUUUCAGAAGUUUUUGAUGUGCAUGGAUACCCAGAACAUUCAUCAUCUUGGACUAACACACCUGCACGUGACAUGCAGUGUACCAUUGUACCAAAAGAUUCAGCUGCUGUUUUGUUCAAUUUCACCAAAAAUUUCAAGUUAAUCAUUGCUCAACUUUUAAGCUAAUAAUUUUCCAAUGCCUUAGCAAAAACACAUGCACUUCAAUCAGUAGCUAGCAGUGAACUAAAGAUGUCACUUACUGGAAACUUACAGCAGUUGUGUGUGAAUACCCAGCCUUUAAUAUAUAACACUUGAUGUGACUGUGAUCCACAUGGUUUUAUCCUCAUAAGCGCUCGUUAUUUAAUAGCUGUCCCUCCUAGUUCAGUUUUCAAUCAAUUUAUAUGUGACCUCCAAAACUUCAGAUUGCAAAGUAAAUAGUUUUACUUUUCAUUAAUAGUGUUGGUGUCAGUUGUGUCAUAUUGUCAUAUUUGACCUCAGAUUACCUCAGCUACCCAUAGUAGCCUACUGAAUCAUCUAAAGUUUUGAGCUUUACAAUCAGCAACAUGCAAUAUGACUUGGGCUUAAUGUAAGGUAUAACAUAUUAAAAGAAUUUGCUAUAAAAAGCCACAUCAUCAACGACAUCUUGGAAUUAUGAUGUUUAUCAAAUCAGGAAUGCUUUUUAUUAUUAUUGUUAUUAUUUUUACAAUAUAUAAAGCCUUUAUUCAGAGUUAGAUGUCAUUGUUAGAGCUCCCAGCAUUAGUUUGUUCUACUGGUAACUGAGUUCAUUCAAUAAUUUAAGGUUGACUUUCUAUUUCAAAAUACUGAAGGUGUUACACUCUUUAACCAAAAAAAUACCAGCCUAAAAAUUACCAUUUAAAAAUGUAAAAGGGCACACCAACUACAUAACUUGCCCAUUGCUCCCACUGAAUUUGUUCUUUCUUUUUUUUAAUAGAUAAGCCAUUUCAUUCGUCAUUCAUUAAAGAAAAAAAUAAUUUAUGAUACACCAGUCAUCAAUACUUAGUCAGAAUGCUACAAUUAUAAACAGAGUGUUUGCUCCAUGCAGCAGCAGAGUGACACCACAGAGAAACAGAGUCUUAUCAAGUGAUGAGCAAAGAGUUCACCAACAAGAUGAGCAGAGGAUUUUGUGUCAAAUCAAAAAGCAGAAACAUCUGGCAGAUUUAGAUUCAAUGCCAAAACGGAACCUGAUAACAUUAAUGCAGCUUCUGGAAGUAACACUUCUGAUCUACACAUACCAUACUGAGCCAAGACAUCUUUUCUUGUAGUCUUGUAAUCGGUAAUACUGGUGCUGUCAUGAAUUUAUUACCUGGUUUCACACUGUGGCAUCCCUCGCCAGCUGGUUCGUCUUAACCAAACUUUUAGACACUAGCUAAAUCUAAGCAGAAAAAACAGACAAUAUAAAUGUUGUUGGGAAAAAAAUCAACUGUAUCAACAUGUGAUUAUGUGUACAGUGCAAAAAAUAUAUAUAUUUAUAGUUAGUGUAGUUACUCUUUGUGAUGACAAUACAUAAGUUUGCAACAUUUAAGAUCAGUGAGAAAAGCUUUGUCAUGUUUGGGCAAACAGGUGAAACAUUUCUAUUAGAAACAAUCUCUCUUGAGCACAAGUGACACAAAAUGGUUACAUUUGCAUGGAAGUUUUUAUUGAUGAUAAGAUCAUUUUGGAUGAACUAUACAGUGCCUGCAUCAGUUCCUUGUGUACAAAAAAAUAGCUUUCAGUUUGCAAGAGAAACCCAUGUCACAUUUUACACGUGAACCAAUCCUCAUAUUUAUUUGUUGUUUUUUUUGUUUUUUUGUUUCUUUGUUUGCUUGUUUUUUAUAUUUUUGGUUUCAUUUUUAACAACUGCUGAUGUUACAUUAAGAUUCCAUCUGUAGGUGUGUAUGCUGGGAGCUUUGGAUUUAAUAUGAAACC